UGAUGUGCGGCGAUCUGGCUGCAACUUCGGUACCCCCAUUGAUUGCCAGGGUUGAUUUGGCUGAUCAACUGGCUAGGCGGUGUCCCCGUCCUCCCUCACCGCUCCAUGUGUGUCCCUCCUGAAGCUGUGUGCUUGGUUGAAGGGGUCGACCAUCCUGGUUAGAAGAGGACCAUUUCCUUGGUUAAGGGUAUGUAACAGGAUUUCCCUGUGAGAACCUCCAGACAAGCCCUCAAGGUGGCCAGUAAAUAUACAUUAAAGUACUUAGCUUUAUUUAUCAUCAGAGAAAUGCAUAUGAAAACCAGCACUGCGGU
rnacentral:snRNA from 1 species